CGCUGGCGGCGUGCCUAUACAUGCAAGUCGAACGCACCAUUUCGGUGGUGAGUGGCGAACGGGUGAGUAACACGUAGGUAACCUACCUUUAAGACGAGGAUAACCAUUGGAAACGAUGGCUAAGACUGGAUAGGAGCAUUUGUGGCAUCACAGAUGUUUUAAAAGACCUAGCAAUAGGUAUGCUUAAAGAGGGGCCUGCGGCGCAUUAGUUAGUUGGUGAGGUAACGGCUUACCAAGACCGUGAUGCAUAGCCGGACUGAGAGGUUGAACGGCCACAUUGGGACUGAGAAACGGCCCAAACUCCUACGGGAGGCAGCAGUAGGGAAUUUUCGGCAAUGGGGGAAACCCUGACCGAGCAACGCCGCGUGAAUGAAGACGUAUUUCGGUAUGUAAAGUUCUUUUAUUAGGGAAGAAUGCUGUAUGGUGAACCAUACAAGUGACGGUACCUAAUGAAUAAGCCCCGGCUAACUAUGUGCCAGCAGCCGCGGUAAUACAUAGGGGGCAAGCGUUAUCCGGAAUUAUUGGGCGUAAAGGGUGCGUAGGCGGUUAUUUAAGUCUUUGGUAUAAGUGCAGUGCUUAACGCUGUGAUGCUAAAGAAACUGGAUGACUUGAGUUAGAUAGAGGCAAGUGGAAUUCCAUGUGUAGCGGUAAAAUGCGUAAAUAUAUGGAGGAACACCAGUGGCGAAGGCGGCUUGCUGGGGUCUAUACUGACGCUGAGGCACGAAAAGCGUGGGGGAGCAAACAGGAUUAGAUACCCUGGUAGUCCACGCCGUAAACGAU
rnacentral:rRNA from 1 species